rnacentral:rRNA from 1 species
GACGAACGCUGGCGGCGUGCUUAACACAUGCAAGUCGAACGGAAAGGCCCUGCUUUUGUGGGGUGCUCGAGUGGCGAACGGGUGAGUAACACGUGAGUAACCUGCCCUUGACUUUGGGAUAACUUCAGGAAACUGGGGCUAAUACCGGAUAGGAGCUCCUGCUGCAUGGUGGGGGUUGGAAAGUUUCGGCGGUUGGGGAUGGACUCGCGGCUUAUCAGCUUGUUGGUUGGGUAGUGGCUUACCAAGGCUUUGACGGGUAGCCGGCCUGAGGGGGUGACCGGCCACAUUGGGCCUGAGAUACGGCCCAGACUCCUACGGGGGGCAGCAGUGGGGAAUAUUGCACAAUGGGCGGAAGCCUGAUGCAGCAACGCCGCGUGCGGGAUGACGGCCGUCGGAUUGUAAGCCGCUUUCGCCUGUGACGAAGCGUGAGUGACGGUAAUGGGUAAAGAAGCACCGGCUAACUACGUG